rnacentral:rRNA from 1 species
UACGUAGGGUGCGAGCGUUGUCCGGAAUUAUUGGGCGUAAAGAGCUUGUAGGCGGUUUGUCGCGUCUGCUGUGAAAUUUCGGGGCUCAACCCCGAACUUGCAGUGGGUACGGGCAGACUAGAGUGUGGUAGGGGAGACUGGAAUUCCUGGUGUAGCGGUGAAAUGCGCAGAUAUCAGGAGGAACACCGAUGGCGAAGGCAGCUCGCUGGGACGGUACUGACGCUGAGGCGCGAAAGCGUGGGGAGCAAACGGG